GGCCUCCUAGCUCAGUUGGUCAGAGCGCACGGUUCACAUCCGUGAGGUCACAGGUUCGAGCCCUGUGGAGGCCA
rnacentral:tRNA from 2 species